rnacentral:rRNA from 1 species
GACGAACGCUGGCGGCGUGCCUAAUACAUGCAAGUCGAGCGGACCUCUUCGGAGGUCAGCGGCGGACGGGUGAGUAACACGUGGGCAACCUGCCUGUAAGACUGGGAUAACACCGGGAAACCGGUGCUAAUACCGGAUAAUCCUUUUCCUCACAUGAGGGGAAGCUGAAAGACGGUUUCGGCUGUCACUUACCGAUGGGCCCGCGGCGCAUUAGCUAGUUGGUGGGGUAACGGCCCACCAAGGCGACGAUGCGUAGCCGACCUGAGAGGGUGAUCGGCCACACUGGGACUGAGACACGGCCCAGACUCCUACGGGAGGCAGCAGUAGGGAAUCUUCCGCAAUGGACGAAAGUCUGACGGAGCAACGCCGCGUGAGCGAAGAAGGCCUUCGGGUCGUAAAGCUCUGUUGUCAGGGAAGAACACGUACCGGAGUAACUGCCGGUACCUUGACGGUACCUGACCAGAAAGCCACGGCUAACUACGUGCCAGCCGCCGCCGUAACAC